CGGGCCGCCAAUCCUCGCCGUCCUGGCCGAUCUGCGCCGUCCCUGGCGGCCGCCGCUCCGUCCCCGGCCGCCUCUCCAUCACGGGUCGCCAAUCCUUGCCGUCCCGGGCCGCCGACCGCGCCGCCCUCGGCCGUCGUCAGCGUCGCCAGUGCGCCGCCCCCACGCCGCGAGAUCCCCUUCUCUGGCGGCGGCGCCCUCCCUCCGGCGUCCCUCUCCAUCACCCGGCGCCUCCUCCCUCCGCGCGGCAUGGAGCCGACGCGGGACCGGAGCGGCUCGGGCACGCGCGCGCCGGGGCGGCGCGCGGGCAGGCGUAGGCUGAGGCGCGGCGUGCGGGAGGAGGAUUGGCACGGUACAGGAGCGACCAGGCGAUCGACGCGGAUCGGGCUGCGGGCGGGCCUUCUGCCGCGGCGCGUGGGACGGCAAGUCGCGCGCCCCCACCCGAGGAUUCCCCACACGCGGCCGCCAUCCCCGUCGCUGUGCACGGCGGUCCGAGCGUGGCAUGCAGGAGCCGCGGCGAUGACUGCGCGAGGGAAGGUGGGGGGGAGGGGGGGGGGGGGGGCGGGGCGGCGGUGCGCCGGCCGCGGCGAGGCACGACGAGCCGCAAGGCUGCUGCGCGAGGCCGCGGCACGUGCAGCGCGAGGAGCCGCGAGGAGAGGCAACAACACUGCAGCGAUCGAGGUGCCGCUCCACUCCGACGCCGCCGUCCGCCCACUACCUCCACUACCGUCUCCGCGGCCUCUUCCGCCGGAACCUUAGCCUCACUUCGGCCGCGAUGGACGAAUCCGGGUCGGCCCCCAUCUUUGCGAACGUGCGCACCACCGAGGAAAAUAGCAGCAGCGCCUGGAUCCCCUCCCCCCAUCGCCUCCAGAUCACACCACCGUUGCCUCCACCUCCAAAACCUUUCUAGGCUGGUGCCGUUGCUGCGAGCGAGCUCAGGUUGGCCAUUUGAUCAAGGAGCUGGUGCAUUGUACAAGGACAAGGAAAUUUUAGCUCGAUAGAUUCAGAUCCUGCUGCUGCAAUGCGAUACACAGAGUGCCGCUUGGAUUCACUAGCAGAAGCCAUGUUCUUGACUGAUCUGGAGCUGAAUACAGUAUCUCUUUUCACUUCUUUGAUGUCUUUCUCUAAGGAGCCAUCUCUGCUGCCAACUCGUGUUUCAUCUCUAUUGUUGAAUGGUUAUUCUGGGAUUGCGGUCGGAAUGGCAACAAACAUUCCUCAUAAUCUGGGGGAGCUUGUUGAUGCACUUUCUGUUAUAAUUCAAAACCCUGAAGCCACAGGUUUCGCCUUCUCGAAACAUGUUCAAAAUCUCAGAGUCUCAUCUGCAAAAAAGACCAUCAUGCGGACGCGGAAGUGGAGACUGGAAAUCUGGAGGGAGACGACGCUGCGCCAGAUCACGAGAGAUGUAGCUGAGAGCUGCAAUCCACAGACGUGGCACCCUCUUACACCUCGCCGCCAUCCUCCUAGCGUCCGACUCCUCUGCAUCCGCCAUCGGGGACAAGUGCGCCGCCUGCAAGGCCGUUGCUAUAAGUUCCCUCUACUCUUCUCUCCUCUUGUCAUUCUUCGAGCAAUCCUAUUAAGUGUGUCUUUAACCAUUUUAUAUCAGCAAGGGGAAGAAACUAGCUCCGGCCUGAAGCAAUAUUGCAGGAUAGACCGUGACCUGUAUUAUUUAGCGUUGUCUAUUCCAAGUGUAAAGAUUCAAUCUUUUUUUUUACUGAACUGCUGAUGUAUAUGUGGAUGAUUUUGGAUUUCUGUGCCAGGAUUCAGGUGUAAGGUGCUGCUGCCGGAUGUCAUCUAUUCGAUGGGAUUCUGACCAUCACCUAUGACCGAGGCUUCUCCAAGCCUAUCCAGUUUGCAAUUCCAUAACUAAUGAGACCAAUAACACAUCCACCAAUGUGCAAGUGAUGAGAGAGACAAACCUACUCGAAGGGAACUUGUUUGAAGUGUAAAUAACUACCUUCAUUCUUUUUCAUACCUAUUACCUAGGCAAAUGCAGAACAAGAAGAAGUGUUCAUAUCUUUUCGUGUUUAUAUGAUAUUUAAGAAACAAAGAAAAUUCUGAACAAGAUGCUGGAUAUCAAAAUACCAGAACUGCAAUUAUGUGUGGAAGGACAUUCUAAAUGCUGAAGGUGAUGAGAUCCAUAUCAAGGAAGUUAGCUUGUACAUGAAGGAAGGAGAGAAGAUAUCCUUCUCGGAGCUUUCUGAAAGGGCAGUUCUACGUCGUGAAGUUACAAACAGGAGGGCUGCAUAUCUUUCCAUUAAGAAGAUCUGAAAGCUUCUUACAACAACUCAGGUCCUGUGGAGAACCAUAAUAGACUGUCUUACACUGAUAUAUCAUACUGAAAAUGCAACAGCCAAAAGCGAACCACAAAAGGGCUAUGCUAUGCUAAAUCUUUCGGAGAACGGCAAGGUGCUUAACAACUGCACUGAUAGCCUGUUGAGAUUGGUUCGCGGAACGAUAGAGAAGGAACUUGGAAAACCCAUGAGUAAUAUUUUUGCUUCAUUUGUGCUGGACCCUCUUGCAACUGCCUCAGUAAGUGCUGCAGUAUCAAAGUGAACUUUAGACUUCAGUUAUCUGAUAUAAAUUCAUAAUAUGCUCAUUUGAGGCUUCAAUGAAUGGUAACACAUAGCACAAGUUCAUUGGGCAACUCUAGCAAGUUGUCAAAAUUCAGUAUGAUGGUAUCAAAGAGAUCAUAUUAGAGGUUUAUCUCUGAUCUGGCUGGUAUGUAUGUCGCACAGUUGGAGUCUGUUACAUUUUUGUAUUGGUGGUCAGGAUCUGAAGAACGCAAAAUCAUCGGUUGAAUGGAUAGCGUGGGCAGAACCUCAGUAUGAUUUUAACCCAACGAUUGAUGAAUAGUGCAAGGAGGCACCAAAGGAACUUGAUUUUAACCAUGAAGCAGGUAAUUAUCCUUGCUCAGUUUCUCACUCAUACGCUUCUCUGGACAACUCCAUGUUUCAGUUGUCAAAGAUUGAUUAUGCUCUACCAGCCUAGAUAAUAAUAGUAGCUUUUCUUCUCAAUAGGUAGUCUGAGCCUAAUCUAAUCAUUUGAACACAUAGUUUCUUGUAGAACUUGGUGCUUCCCCUGAGUUACUCUCUUAUAAUGGAAAAGUGAUUCAUUGUAAAUGUGCUGAUCACAUGAGCAUGUAUGAUUUAAUCACCGUACUUUCAGAUUGUAUUUAACUUUUCAUGACCAAAUAUGACAGAUUAAUUUUUCGGUUUUGUCA